GAUAUACUCGCUUCGUCUGGAAAUACUUGUCAUCAAAAUGAAUGGAAGGGGAUAUAUCUAAACGUAUUUUAGUUCUAGAUAUAUCUCUUUUUAUCCAUUUUGAUGACAAAUAUUCUCGGACGGAGGGAGUAUCAG
rfam:Triticum aestivum genome assembly, contig: Triticum_aestivum_CS42_TGACv1_scaffold_145899_2BS